rnacentral:rRNA from 1 species
GAUGAACGCUAGCUACAGGCUUAACACAUGCAAGUCGAGGGGCAGCAUGGACUUAGCUUGCUAAGUUUGAUGGCGACCGGCGCACGGGUGAGUAACACGUAUCCAACCUGCCGAUGACUCGGGGAUAGCCUUUCGAAAGAAAGAUUAAUACCCGAUGGCAUAGUUCUUCCGCAUGGUAGAACUAUUAAAGAAUUUCGGUCAUCGAUGGGGAUGCGUUCCAUUAGGUUGUUGGCGGGGUAACGGCUCACCAAGCCUUCGAUGGAUAGGGGUUCUGAGAGGAAGGUCCCCCACAUUGGAACUGAGACACGGUCCAAACUCCUACGGGAGGCAGCAGUGAGGAAUAUUGGUCAAUGGACGAGAGUCUGAACCAGCCAAGUAGCGUGCAGGAUGACGGCCCUAUGGGUUGUAAACUGCUUUUAUAAGGGAAUAAAGUUUCCUACGUGUAGGAUUUUGUAUGUACCGUAUGAAUAAGCAUCGGCUAACUCCGUG